rnacentral:lncRNA from 1 species
AAUUUUAAGAUUUAAUAAUGUGAAUAACAUCAACAACAAUUAAUCAUCCACUAGAGGGCAAAGAAAGAGAAGUAAGUAAAGUGUUAUAAUAGACGUCGAUAAUGACAAUUAGAUAAUCGUAAAAUUAGAAAAAUAAGAAUACACAGAUUUUACGUGGAAACCCUUUUGGGUAAAAAUUACGGGCAGAGGAGAAAUUCACCUAUGUUGAAAAAUGAAUGAUACAAGAAGAGUUUCGACUACAUCUAUUUAAAGAUUGAAAACCUCUUUUCUAAUCAAUGCCAAAUAGAAGAGAUGUAGUUCUUUGCAGAUUCUACUUGUGCGGCAUGGUCCCCUUAUUCAAACCUUCGGCCCUCGACUUUUCGCUCCCACAGAUCCCCUUAUUUUACCGAUAUAUUUUAUUUUUUUAACAAAUGAUGAGAUUCAAUUCACAUAACUCGAUCAUAAAUCAAACUAUUUAUUGAAGAAAGAGAUAUUAUUUACAUGCUUUAAUUCGUAGAAAUCUCUAUUAAUUAACCUAUAUGGGGAUGAUCACAUGUACCUUUUUGUCUCCCCUUCCAACAUGAGGUAACUAUAAAUCCUUCAAUGGCACAGAAUAGCAUGUGCUCACACUCUGCCUUUUCACGUGCAAUCACUUCACAUUUUGCUCUAAAAUUUCCCCAAUACACAAUCAAAUAUUCAACUGUAUCAUCUACCAUCUUUACUUCACAAAACCAAAUAAUUCUCACUGCUUUUUAAUUGUGAGUGCUACUUGAUUUAUUUCUAGGGUAAAAAUUCUCAUUCUCCUCAUCAAAGAAAGAAAACUAAAAUAAAAGCUUAUCUAACAUUCAGCAUUUUAUUUUAAAGUGAACAUAUAUAAUGCAUUCUAUGAGUCUAAAUAAAAUAAAGAAAAGGGAGAAGCUUAUACAUAUAUAUGCCUUUUGUCUGUUUAGUAUCUCGAAAUCAUAAGCUAACCUUUAGGAACUAAAAUUUCAAAAUUUGGAUUUAAAUUUUAAAAAUAAUGUGACUUCAACAUCAUGAUUAUUUCUUAUGAUUUAUCUCUCGUCACUGUUGAUAUUAGGGAAAAAUAAGUUGAAAAAGUAAAAGGAAGAAAAUGAAGACGUAAGUUACAGGUAUGUGUAUAUGUCUAAGCUCUAAUGAUUAAACAGAGAUAUAGAAAUAAGAUUUCUACUUCUUACCUUUCUCUGGACAUUCAAGCAUGCUCUCAAGUAUGGAGGAAAAUAUGUUGUGAGAGAAACAAAGAUGAAGGCGAAGAGAAAAGAAGCAAGAAAAAGAAAAUGAGAGAAAGGGGGCAAAGAGUGCUUAAAAGGCAAGAUAUACAUGUUCUCCAUUAUUUAUCUAUAGAAUAAGAUUUAUGUUACAAUCUAAAGCUUGAGAAUCUAAAUCCAUGAACUCAAUUUGGUUGCCUUCAUUUUAUUUUAUUUAACAUGAUGUACGAGGAUUCAUUUAAUUUAAUUUGUUGGUCCACAAACAACUAGAAAAUUGCUCCGUUCUCUCCAUGAAAAUAAAAAAUAAAAAAAAGACACAUCAACAACAAAAUAAAAUAAAAACCACUGAUAUUUAUAAAUUAUUAAAAACAUUUUCUCCAUUAUACUUACAGAGAUGAUCAGCUCCCGAAGGCUUCGCAGCAGUCACUAAUUACACUGCAGCAACUCAAAGCAUUGAAAAACCAAUCAAGGCAACCAGACUUUGCAGGUGGAGCAGCAUACCGUGAAGGUGGUUCCAUCACGGGGGGAUAACCUUGAGCAGGGUUAGGAUAAGGAUACUUGGGAUCACUCAUAUUUGGAAACUAACUGACAAGUGAUUCAGUGUCGAUGGAAAAAAAAUGCUUUAUAGUCGGCAAGGGCCCCCCUUCGGCCUUCAGGGCCAAACUAUAGCUAGAUUAAUAGAGAUGGGUAGCUUCCGCACUUUUUCCAGCGUUAAUAUAUAAGGUGCCUUUCACUUUCUGGAUGUAGUGAUUCAUCACAUGGCACUUUUUCCACCAGGGACUUGGUUGCUUUAUCUGGUUUGUUCUCUGUCCUACCAUUACACUUGUUUGUUUGGUUCUGACAUUUCAAUUUUCUUUUGAAGUGUCUAUAUCUAGUAUCCGUGUUGAACUCAUAUGUAAACACAUGACCCUUAAAGAAACAUAUAUGAACACACCAGUAUCUGACUAACAUUAAUUCUAAAAAUUGGAAUUCGAUCCUGACAGCCUCAAGUGUAAAUUGUGCAGGGGCACACACAAUUGGACAAGCGAGAUGCACGUCAUUCAGGGCUCGCAUAUACAAUGAGAGCAACAUUGACGCUUCCUUCGCUCAAACAAGGCAAAGAAACUGCCCAAGAACAACAGGCUCAGGGGACAACAACUUGGCACCUCUUGAUAUCCAAACUCCAACAUCUUUUGACAACAACUACUUCAAGAACCUAGUCAGUCAAAGAGGACUUCUCCACUCUGAUCAACAGUUGUUCAAUGGUGGAUCCACGGAUUCCAUCGUUCGCGGUUACGGUAACAGCCCAAGCUCCUUCAAUUCGGAUUUUGUGGCUGCCAUGAUCAAGAUGGGAGACAUUAGUCCCCUCACUGGAUCACGUGGGGAGAUCAGGAAGAACUGCAGAAGGGUGAACUAAUUUGUGCAUUUGCCUAUGGAAACUAAACUAUAAGAAAAUAAAAGCAGUGGAAAUUUUGUUUCCUUAAAUGGUUGUUUGUUUGUAUCAGUUAAGAUUAUGAAGUAGGAGUUGUGUGUAUUUGAUGUUUAAUUUCUUCCAAAUUGUUCAAGGGCUUAGGUCAUGUUUCUGAGAAAGUAAUAGCAUUAGAAGUACCCUAUUUCUCUCAGUACUAUUGUGGUGUGGAAUCUUAUUUAUGCAGCUUUUAAUCCAAGCCCAUUCUCACUAAAUGCAAAUCACGACCCAUAUUUAACCCGCUCAAAUUGGAUUAAACUAUUUUAUCAAUUUGCUUUUAAACUUAUCCAAAGAAAAAUUUGGAGUUCAUCUUAAAUGUGUCAGAGUAAGAAUAUAACAUACAGUAUUUGGAACAAUAGUUUUAAGUAAAUUUAGCAAUGCCAAAAUCAGUGCCAACACCUUCAGGUACUGAUCAACAAUAACAAUAAACACACUAUAUGUUUAUGUAGUUCGGUUUUUCUAUGUUUACAGGAUUUUACCUAAAGAAAUAAUUCACAUCUUAGCACCUCAUACAAUAAAUUAUUACAAAUUUAAAUACUCACCAAAUUAAAAUCUCACUUUUACAUCUAAGAUUUUCUAAUUUUUAAAAGGGUUUUCUUUUCUAAUUUCUAAUUUAUUUUAAGAUGAUGUAUAUCUAAGGGAAUUACUCACAUAUAGUUUCGGUAUUCUUAAUUGACCCAUACACUAAAAUUAUAUAUGUACAUAUCUGUAUAAGGGAUUGAUCUUUAUGUUGGCUCGCAACUGAACUUAAAAUUCAUAUUCAAUUAAAAUAGUUAAAAUAAAUUUAAUUUAGCAUAAUGAAUUAUUUCGCCCCCCAAAUUUAUAAAAAAAAAGUUAUUUUAGUUUUUCAUUUAAUUUUUUCUCUUUUAGUUAUUGAAUUUGUAUUGUUUGUCAAAUCACCUAAAAAUAGAUGAAAAAGUUAAUCUAUUAACUUUACAGACAUGGAAUACAUGUGGAAGUCCAAGUGUAUGUCAAGUUAGAAAUUAAAUAAUUUUAAGAAAAUUAAAAAAUAUUUUAAAAUAUAUAUUUUUAUAACAUUUUAAUGAUUUUUAAAAUUUUAAUUUUUUUUGAAGUUUUUGUAUUUAAAAAAUUAUUUAAUUGCUAAUGUGGUGGCAUUUACGUGGCGAUCCAUAUGUAUGUCACAUCAGCAAAGUUAACAACUGUUAAAUUUUUAUUCAUUUUUAGGGUGAUUUGACAAAUUAUGCAAGUUAAAGGGCUAAAAGAAGCAAAAAAUUAAAUGGAGGGCUAAAAUGACUUUUUUUGUAAAGUUUAAAAGUCAAAUAAAUCAUUAUACCAUUUCAUUUUCAUAAAUAAUCAAAUAUUAAUAUUACUAUAAUCUAAAGAUAAAAAUUAUAAAAUAAAAUACCCAGCGAAAGCAGGGGAUAAGUCUAGAUAGGCUUAAAACCAUCUUGUAAUUUCUCAAAAUGUCCCCAAAAUUCAAAAUUUAAUAGAUGUGAAUAACACACUUAAAUUGUAUUUAUUUCAAUUACCAUGAAUUUUUUAAACAAUUUUCUUUUUAAGUAGUAAUAAAUUUUUUUAAGUGUAAAAAAAUAAAAUAAUAAUUAAAUUACACAACUUUAAUUUCUUUGAAGUCACAACUUUAAAUUUAUAAAUAAUAAUUUUUUUUGAAACUUUAAACACUAUUAAAAAUUUAAACAAAUAUUAUAGUUGAAACAUUUUUAAUAAUUUUUAUUUCAAACUAAGUUUAUUAAUUAAAUAAAAAUUAUAAAAAAUGAAAAUCCCUUGAGGAAGGGGGUAAUUGUAGUUAGACUUAAAACCAUCAUGCAAUUUUUAAAAAUGUCCCAGAAAAUUUUAAGAUUUAAUAAUGUGAAUAACAUCCUUAAAAUUUUUAGUAUUUGGAAACAUAUAACAACAAUUAAUCAUCCACUAGAGGGCAAAGAAAGAGAAGUAAGUAAAGUGUUAUAAUAGACGUAGAUAAUGACAAUUGGAUGAUCGUAAAAUUAGAAAAAUAAGAAUAUAUAGAUUUUACGUGGAAACCCUUUCGAGUAAAAAUUACGGGCAGAGGAGAAAUCACCAAUGUUGAAAAAUGUAUGAUACAAGAAGAGUUUCGAAUACAUCUAUUUAAAGAUUGAAAACCUCUUUUCUAAUCAAUAUCAAAUAAAAUAGAUGUAAUUCUAUACAGAUUCUAUUUGUGCGGCAUGGUCCCCUUAUUCAAACUUUUGACCCUCGACUUUUCGCUCCCACAGAUCAUCUUAUUUUACCAAUAUAUUUUAUUUUUUUAACAAAUGAUGAGAUUCAAUUCACAUACUAUUUAUUGAAGAAGGAGAUAUUAUUUACAUGCUUUAAUUCUUAGAAAUCUCUAUUAAUUAACCUAUAUGGGGAUGAUCACAUGUACCUUUUGUCUCCCCUCCCAACAUGAGGUAACUAUAAAUCCUUCAAUGGCACAGAAUAGCAUGUGCUCACACUCUGCCUUUUCACGUGCAAUCACUUCACAUUUU